rnacentral:rRNA from 1 species
GAGUUUGAUCGUGGCUCAGGAUGAACGCUAGCUACAGGCUUAACACAUGCAAGUCGAGCGAAGCACUUUAAUUUGAUUCUUCGGAUGAGGAUUUUUGUGACUGAGCGGCGGACGGGUGAGUAACGCGUGGGGCAACCUGCCUUACACAGGGGGAUAACAGUUAGAAAUGACUGCUAAUACCGCAUAAGACCACAGUGCUGCAUGGUGCAGUGGUAAAAACUCCGGUGGUGUAAGAUGGGCCCGCGUCUGAUUAGGUAGUUGGCGGGUAACGGCCCGACCAAGCCGACGAUCAGUAGCCGACCUGAGAGGGUGACCGGCCACAUUGGGACUGAGACAUGGCCCAGACUCCUGCGGGAGGCAGCAGUGGGGAAUAUUGCACAAUGGGGGAAACCCUGAUGCAGCGACGCCGCGUGAGUGAAGAAGUAUCUCGGUAUGUAAAGCUCUAUCAGCAGGGAAGAAAGAAAUGACGGUACCUGACCAAGAAGCCCCGGCUAACUACGUGCCAGCCGCCG